rnacentral:pre_miRNA from 1 species
UUAAUACUCCCUCCGUCCAGAAAUACUUGUCAUCAAAAUGAAUAAAAGGGGAUGUAUCUAGAUGUAUUUUAGUUUUAGAUACAUCCAUUUUUAUCCAUUUUGAUGACAAGUAUUUUCGGACGAAGGGAGUAAUAA